rnacentral:rRNA from 1 species
GAUGAACGCUGGCGGCGUGCCUAAUACAUGCAAGUCGAGCGAACAGACGAGGAGCUUGCUCCUCUGACGUUAGCGGCGGACGGGUGAGUAACACGUGGAUAACCUACCUAUAAGACUGGGAUAACUUCGGGAAACCGGAGCUAAUACCGGAUAAUAUAUUGAACCGCAUGGUUCAAUAGUGAAAGACGGUCUUGCUGUCACUUAUAGAUGGAUCCGCGCCGCAUUAGCUAGUUGGUAAGGUAACGGCUUACCAAGGCGACGAUGCGUAGCCGACCUGAGAGGGUGAUCGGCCACACUGGAACUGAGACACGGUCCAGACUCCUACGGGAGGCAGCAGUAGGGAAUCUUCCGCAAUGGGCGAAAGCCUGACGGAGCAACGCCGCGUGAGUGAUGAAGGUCUUCGGAUCGUAAAACUCUGUUAUUAGGGAAGAACAAAUGUGUAAGUAACUAUGCACGUCUUGACGGUACCUAAUCAGAAAGCCACGGCUAACUACAUG